UUUUAAUGGAACAUCCAAAGCUCCACAAGUACCUUCUAAACCAGGAAGAGGGUAGACCUUUGCUCCCUGUGAGAUUUGUCCAGUGUGAUAGUCUCCACCUGCAUGACCAUCAACCCGCCAGCCAGCCAGUAGCUUCAUGCAGCACCAUUUUUCCCCUUAGAAGAUUACCUUGGAACUCACUUUGGUAUUCAUUGGUUUCGUUCACUUUUUUUUUUUUGUUUACCUUCAGUCAACCCAUCAGGAGUCUCAAGAGCUCUAUCCUGCACCCUAUAGCAGGUCUAAGGUGGAGGCUCUUCUGCUUAAUGGGUUCCCACGUCUAUGGCAUCUGGGGACAGAAGUGAAGACAUAAAGCUUCGGCUGCCUCAUGGCCUAGCCCAUUUCUUAGGAAGCAUCGGG
rnacentral:lncRNA from 1 species